AACGAACGCUGGCGGCAUGCCUAACACAUGCAAGUCGAACGAGCCCUUCGGGGCUAGUGGCGCACGGGUGCGUAACGCGUGGGAACCUGCCCUUAGGUUCGGAAUAACUCCCCGAAAGGGGUGCUAAUACCGGAUAAUGUCUUCGGACCAAAGAUUUAUCGCCUUUGGAUGGGCCCGCGUUGGAUUAGCUAGUUGGUAGGGUAAAAGCCUACCAAGGCGACGAUCCAUAGCUGGUCUGAGAGGAUGAUCAGCCACACUGGGACUGAAACACGGCCCAGACUCCUACGGGAGGCAGCAGUGGGGAAUAUUGGGCAAUGGGCGAAAGCCUGAUCCAGCAAUGCCGCGUGAAUGAUGAAGGCCUUAGGGUUGUAAAGCUCUUUUACCCGGGAUGAUAAUGACAGUACCGGGAGAAUAAGCCCCGGCUAACUCCGUG
rnacentral:rRNA from 1 species